AAUAAACGCUGGCGGCGUGCCUAACACAUGCAAGUCGAGCGGGAAAGCUCCUUCGGGAGUUAGUAAAGCGGCGAACGGGUGAGCAACACGUGAGAAUCUACCCUUUAGUGAAGAAUACCCUCGAGAAAUCGAGGCUAAUACUGCAUACGUCCCUUCGGGGAGAAAGAUGGCCUCUUUGCUAUCGCUAAAGGAUGAGCUUGCGUACUAUUAGCUAGUUGGCGGGGUAAAGGCCCACCAAGGCAAUGAUGGUUAACCGGCCUGAGAGGGUGUACGGUCACACUGGAACUUAGACACGGUCCAGACUCCUACGGGAGGCAGCAGUGAGGAAUCUUGCGCAAUGGGCGAAAGCCUGACGCAGCGACGCCGCGUGGAGGAUGACGGUUUUCGGAUUGUAAACUCCUGUUAAGCGGGAAGAAAGCCUUGUUUCUAAUACAAGCAAGGUAUGACGGUACCGCUAGAGAAAGCACCGGCUAACUUCGUG
rnacentral:rRNA from 1 species